rnacentral:tRNA from 1 species
GCCGUCGUAGCUUAGCGGUAGAGCGUCUGAUUCGUAAUCAGAAGGUCGAGGGUUCAAUCCCCUCCGACGGCUCCA